UACGUAGGGUGCGAGCGUUAAUCGGAAUUACUGGGCGUAAAGCGUGCGCAGGCGGUUUUGUAAGUCUGUCGUGAAAUCCCCGGGCUCAACCUGGGAAUUGCGAUGGAGACUGCAAGGCUAGAAUCUGGCAGAGGGGGGUAGAAUUCCACGUGUAGCAGUGAAAUGCGUAGAGAUGUGGAGGAACACCGAUGGCGAAGGCAGCCCCCUGGGUCAAGAUUGAC
rnacentral:rRNA from 1 species